GAUUGUGCGGCUGCCAUCCUGAUUUUUCUGCCACCCCAGCACUUCCUGGGCGAGUCCCUGCUGCCAUUAAUGGUCAUUAAGCAAGUGCAGUUUUGCCCAUUGCUGUCACUUGCCGUAACUCCAAGCCGAUCGCCCUGCACCCAAGUCAUGAGCGUGCAACCCUGGAGAUGCUGCUACAGUCAUAUGUGCGAGGACCCGUGAUACAUCACUCUUUUCAGUGCCAUUGAAACUGUAGGCACAGCGAGGAUCUCCCUCGUUUGGAUGUGUCAGAAGAAAGAGACAGUUCCCAUUAAGGCAGAAUUAGGGGGCGAAACUAGAAAUGUGGGGCUCAGUCCCGGAUCACAGCGGUGCUGAUACCUGCCGUGUUAGCAGCCUCCGUUCCUGUGGACCAACUGCCAAUCCACCAUCUCAAAGCUCAAGGCAAUGAACAUACCGAAGACUCCUUCGUCCCUACAACAACUAGCUUGUGAGACAGGUCAGCAACAGGGAAGAAACGGCCCUAAAGUGAAUAUCCCUGGGCUAUCUCUCAACAGCCAGUGAUGGUUAAGCAGUGAAGAGAUGCCUUUGACCUUCAGACCCAGGAAUUCAAGAGACAAACAACGGAUGAAAGAGCAGCACAGUUGCCUCAAGAAGAUGGUCGAUCAACUAAAGAGCACAACAAAAAAGUGGCAGAAAACUGCUGGAAAAAAGAGAAAGGUUGGAGCGUGCCACCACCAUGAUCCCUCAGCGAGGGCUAAAGAUCAAAUAUUUGGUGAGACACACUGAAGAAGUGCACAAAGAACUGUGCAGGUCAGCAGCCAAGCGGCCUUUCUCAAAUAUGAGAAGGCUGCCUUAGAACCUUUGAGAAGAGGUCUCGAAGAAGUCUGGAACCUUCUUAAGAACUGAAGAAGCACCUCUAAAGUCUGCAGCAUGAAUAGGUUGAGACGGACCAAAGUUACUAUGCGGAGAAAAGCCACUCCAGCCAACUGAUGCAGAAAGUCAGUCCUCUUCAGCAGAAUGUGAGGGGAAAAAAGAAGCAGGUCAACAAUCUACAGCAGCAACAGCAGCCGCCGCAGAGCUAUACUUCCCAGGCCACAGUUGGAGACCUGUGGAAAGCCGAGGAGGACAACGGAGAAGGACUGAACCAUGUCAAAAUGACAAUGCAAGAAUUACAGCUGCAGACGAGGUGUUUCGAGAAAGACAGUGAAGAUCUCCACAGGGAGGUCCCCAGCCAAGUGGCCUUCUUCAGAAAUGGUUUUUGUACUCCUAAGCGACCAGCACAUGGGACAA